rnacentral:rRNA from 1 species
UACGUAGGGGGCAAGCGUUGUCCGGAUUUAUUGGGCGUAAAGAGCGUGUAGGCGGCCUUACAGGUCAGCUGUGAAAACUCGAGGCUCAACCUCGAGACGUCGGUUGAAACCGUAUGGCUAGAGUCCGGAAGAGGAGAGUGGAAUUCCCGGUGUAGCGGUGAAAUGCGCAGAUAUCGGGAGGAACACCGAUGGCGAAGGCAGGUCUCUGGGCCACUACUGACGCUGAGAAGCGAAAGCAUGGGGAGCGAACAGG